GAGAAGGCCCUCGGGUUGUAAAGCACUUUCAGUGGGGAAGAAAUUCUCAAGGCUAAUACCCUUUUGAGCGUUGACGUUACCCACAGAAGAAGCACUGGCUAACUCUGUGCCAGCAGCCGCGGUAAUACAGAGAGUGCAAGCGUUAAUCGGAAUCACUGGGCGUAAAGCGCGCGUAGGUGGAUAUUUAAGUCGGAUGUGAAAGCCCUAGGCUUAACCUGGGAAUUACAUCCGAUACUAGGUAUCUCGAGUAUGAUAGAGGGAAGUGGAAUUUCCGGUGUAGCGGUGAAAUGCGUAGAUAUCGGAAAGAACAUCAGUGGCGAAGGCGGCUUCCUGGAGCAAUACUGACACUGAGGCGCGAAAGCGUGGGGAGCAAACAGGAUUAGAGACCCUGGUAGUCCACGCCGUCAACGAUGAGAACUAGCUGUUGGAAAGUUUACUUUCUAGUAGCAAAGCUAACGCGUUAAGUUCUCCGCCUGGGGAGUACGGCCGCAAGGUUAAAACUCAAAGAAAUUGACGGGGGCCCGCACAAGCGGUGGAGCAUGUGGUUUAAUUCGAUGCAACACGAAAAACCUUACCUACCCUUGACAUCCUCGGAACUUGUCAGAUGC
rnacentral:rRNA from 1 species